rnacentral:SRP_RNA from 1 species
GCCGGGGGUGGUGGCGCGCGCCUGUAAUCCCAGCUACUUAUGAGGCUGAGGCAGGAGAAUCGCUUGAACCCAGGAGGUGGAGGUUGCAGUGAGCCAAGAUGGCGCCACUGCACUCCAGCCUGGGUGACAGAGUGAGACUCCGUCUCAA